GGGUAUAGCUCAAUUGGUAGAGUUACGGUCUCCAAAACCGUCGGUUGUGGGUUCAAGUCCUACUGCCC
rnacentral:tRNA from 1 species